AGAAAAAGGCAACAUCACACUCAUUUUUAAAAAGUGUAAAAAGGAUGACCUCAGGAACUACUGACCUAUUAGUCUGUCUUCUAUGCCAGGAAAGAUCAUGGAGCAGAUCCUCAUGAAAGCUAUGUGCAGUGGAAAUGCAAAGUCACAGCCUGAAACAGUAACUGAGCAUCUGGUGGGAGGGUGGGCCAAACCAGGGAAGCUUAGGUGCAAGCAGUGCACCUGAGUGACUGGAAGGGGUGGAGCCAGGAUCUACCCCUUCCCACACCUCAUUUAAGGACUGGCAGUGGAGGUGAGAGUAUCUCUUGCUGGAGAACCCUGCUCAUUGCAGGGAAGCUGGAUUAGAUGACCUUUAAAGGUCCUUUCUAACUCUAAGGAUUCUAUGAUUCUAAUUUGGGUUAUCAUACCACAUUUACAGGAACGCAACUGUUCUGUGAUAGUGGAAUCGUUUCUUAGACUAGGCAGUAGAAAGAAAAAGCAGCAGUAUUUGCCCUUUUAGAUCACAGUGUUGAUAUCACUGGUAUGAAUUAGUGAAGCUUGAAAUCUGACUUCAGCCUUUUCCUGUUCUUUUUUCCUCUUUCUUCUACCUUAGUCUUGCAGAGGAACUAACAGACGAAGCCCUGUUUGAUGUGGCAACAGAGCUUCAGGAUGUUUGUGAGGAUUAUGCUGAAGCUGUAUUCACAUCGGAAUUUUUGCAGCCAGCACAGUAAAAGGAGUGCCUUGACUGACGCUCCUACCACAGUGAGGAAAGCUGCUGACCACUGGGGCUCCUGGGCACUACUGUGAUUUUAAUGUGGAAUGGAGAUUGGGCUGGCAGAACUUCCCUUCUGAAAUACCUCACUGAGAAGAACUCACAUAAAUGCAGUGUUAUUUCAUUUCAAAUUGUAAGUAGUAUUCUGUGAAGAAGGAAAUGUAAGCUGGUAUUCAAAGUUCAGUGAUUACUUUCACCUGUUUAGUGGAGUUUGUUUCUCAUGGUCACAUUCUUUAUUGUUUUAUCCCUAGGAAGAUGUCUCUUUUCAUUGAAUAAACUUGGUCUCUGCUGCUGAGAGAGAUUUCUUUAUUUUUAAUAUUUUCCUUUUUAAAAGCUCUUUUAAGCAGUUCCCUGAUUUGUCAAGGUAUUUUUGAACUUGCAUAACCUUUAAAGCAAUUAUUACAAGCCUGGCUGUAAAAAUUGCUGAAUUCAGAGAUAAUUCAUGAGCUGUAUGAGUUUCCCUUCAAGUAAAUUCCAACUAUACUGCAAAUGUGCAAAUCUAGCUGUAGAUUCCAGCUUAACAAACAAAACAAAAAAAAUUGCAUAAAAUUCCCACAGCAUUAAGGUUGUUGUCAGUUCUUACCUUUGCUUCAUUGUUCAUUUGUGGAGACUUGCACUUUCAGCCUAGCUGUGGCAGAGGCAUACAUACACACAAAGGGGACACUGUGAUCGACUGGAGUACGUGUCUUUGGACUGCUGCACCCAAGAGGGUGCUGCUGUUGUGGCUAAUGGCUCAAGCGACCAAGACGACACAGCUUUCUAGUGCAGGAAAGAAGCUGGGUGGGUUCAAUGGAUCUGUUCCAACUCAAGAUAUCCUGUGACUGUGAUUUUGUGACUGGUCAAAGCUCGGGGAUGCUGGUGUUACUGGUCUCAGCCUGGAGGCAUCAUUCAUUUCUUUCUGCGUCUGGGAAAACUGUGUGUCUCAGUGAUAAGAGCCUACCUGCGUGGCAGGAUGUGUACCAGCAGGAGGAGGGAGACUGGUCCCUGUUCUGAACGUGGGUUUCUGGAGCAGGCCAGCUCUCUGGAGGAUACUGCAGGUAGACUGCAUGUGAGUAUUAAAUGGCCCACCAGACUGUACGAUUAGUGUCAGAACUGGGGGAGGAAGUAACAGGAAUAAUGUAAGAAACUUGUUGAGUCUCACUAGCUCCUACUAAUCUGCAGUGAACUGUUCAAUAUAGGGCGAAAUGGUGGGGUUUUUUUUUUCAGGACAUAGAUAAUACCUUUUUUUUUUUUAAUGGUACUUUGUAUGUGUUGGGAACUGUAACUGUUGACCCUGAACAAAUGUAAAGAAAUAUGUGAUAUUGUCAUGCUCUGAUGCCUGCUUAGAGCUGAAGUUUUACUUGGUUAUAGAUUGCAAUAUGCCCAGAGUAGCAGAGAACUCAGAGGGGCUAACUACCCAAGUAACACCUUUGCUUCCUGCAGAUCUUUUGCAGCUUCACUUGAACUGUUUGUUAUCACAGCUGUAAAAGUAUUCACAACUCAUGCUGACAACUUAAGGCCUUAAGGCCAGCCUAGCUGUGCCAUCUCAGCUGUGAGAGUUACUUAAUUAGCAAGAGCAGAUCUAAUUUCGGUCUUAGUGACACAGAUGACAUGGCAGGAUGGUGUGAAGGUCUCUAUUCUGCAGAGGAGGAUAGCUACAGCCUUGGCUACCCUUGUUUCCACUGAACAUUACUCGGCCCAGGCAUUUGUCUGGUCUUAUGUGCCUGAUGUGAAUUUCUCACAGCCAUGCAUUCUGGUAUCAGUCAGUUCAGCCUUGGUGGUAAGAGUUGUAUGAUGCAAGAUUUGUGGUACUUGGGAUUAACUAGAGCUAGCAGCAACCUGGCAGGCAACACAACACCUAAGUCUGCUCACCAACACAUGUAUCUUUCUGCUAGAGAAUUUCCUGUGCCUCAGUACUAUAAAAUCUUUGCUGGAGCAAGUUCCCAUCAGUUGCAAUCUUCUGUUGUGCUUCUAUGGGUUAUGAUUUUGUUCUCUUUGUUUUUUGGCGGAAUGCUUCUGCUCUCCU